rnacentral:rRNA from 1 species
GACGAACGCUGGCGGCGUGCUUAACACAUGCAAGUCGAACGGAAAGGCCCUGCUUUUGUGGGGUGCUCGAGUGGCGAACGGGUGAGUAACACGAGAGUAACCUGCCCUUGACUUUGGGAUAACUUCAGGAAACUGGGGCUAAUACCGGAUAGGAGCUCCUGCUGCAUGGUGGGGGUUGGAAAGUUUCGGCGGUUGGGGAUGGACUCGCGGCUUAUCAGCUUGUUGGUGGGGUAGUGGCUUACCAAGGCUUUGACGGGUAGCCGGCCUGAGAGGGUGACCGGCCACAUUGGGACUGAGAUACGGCCCAGACUCCUACGGGAGGCAGCAGUGGGGAAUAUUGCACAAUGGGCGGAAGCCUGAUGCAGCAACGCCGCGUGUGGGAUGACGGCCUUCGGGUUGUAAACCGCUUUCGCCUGUGACGAAGCGUGAGUGACGGUAAUGGGUAAAGAAGCACCGGCUAACUACGUG